rnacentral:rRNA from 1 species
GAUGAACGCUAGCGGCAGGCUUAAUACAUGCAAGUCGAACGGGAUUGAGAAGCUUGCUUUUCAUGAGAGUGGCGCACGGGUGCAUAACACGUAUGCAACCUGCCUUGUCCAGGGGGAUAGCCCGUUGAAAGACGGAUUAAGACCGCAUAACAUCAUUGAAUGGCAUCGUUUAAUGAUCAAAUAUUUAUAGGGACAAGAUGGGCAUGCGUCUGAUUAGCUAGUUGGCGGGGUAAUGGCCCACCAAGGCGACGAUCAGUAGGGGAUCUGAGAGGAUGACCCCCCACACUGGUACUGAGACACGGCCCAGACUCCUACGGGAGGCAGCAGUAAGGAAUAUUGGUCAAUGGGCGCAAGCCUGAACCAGCCAUGCCGCGUGCAGGAAGACGGCCCUACGGGUUGUAAACUGCUUUUAUACGGGAAUAACCCCGGUUUCGUGAAACCGGCUGAAUGUACCGUAAGAAUAAGGAUCGGCUAACUCCGUGCCAGCAGCCGCCGUAA